rnacentral:rRNA from 1 species
UACGUAUGGGGCGAGCGUUGUCCGGAAUGAUUGGGCGUAAAGGGUACGUAGGCGGUUUAUUAAGUCGAGUGUGAAAGGCUGGGGCUAAACCACAAAAAGCAUUCUAAACUGGUGAACUUGAGAUGUGUAGAGGAAAGUGGAAUUCCUAGUGUAGCGGUGACAUGCGUAGAGAUGAGGAGGAAUACCAGUGGCGAAGGCGACUUACUGGGCAUAUACUGACGCUGAGGUACGAAAGCGUGGGGAGCAAACAGG